AGUUAAAAUGCUUUGUAAUUGGAAUGAUAGAAAUUUAAACCCUUUUUAAAGUAUCAAUUGGAGGGCAAGUCUGGUGCCAGCAGCCACGGUAAUUCCAGCUCCAAUAGCGUAUAUUAAAAUUGUUGCAGUUAAAAAGCUCGUAGUUGAAGUUCUGCUGAAAGUAACCGGUCUGCUUUUAAUAAAAGUGGUAUCUUGGUAUGUAUUUAGCAAUGAUGUCCUUUGAAGUGUUUUUUACUUUAUUGUAAUAAAGCAUAUUCAGGACUUUUACUUUGAGAAAAUUAGAGUGUUUCUAGCAGGCUGACGCUUUGAAUACUGCAGCAUGGAAUAAUAAGAUAGGAUUUUAGUUCUACAUUAUUGGUUUUAAGAGCUAAAUUAAUGAUUGAUAGGGACAGUUGGGGGCAUUUGUAUUUA
rnacentral:rRNA from 1 species